CCGCCUGGGGAGUACGGCCGCAAGGCUAAAACUCAAANGAAUUGACGGGGGCCCGCACAAGCGGCGGAGCAUGUGGAUUAAUUCGAUGCAACGCGAAGAACCUUNCCUGGGUUUGACAUACACCGGAAACCUGCAGAGAUGUAGGCCCCCUUGUGGUCGGUGUACAGGUGGUGCAUGGCUGUCGUCAGCUCGUGUCGUGAGAUGUUGGGUUAAGUCCCGCAACGAGCGCAACCCUUGUCCUGUGUUGNCAGCACGUAAUGGUGGGGACUCGCAGGAGACUGCCGGGGUCAACUCGGAGGAAGGUGGGGACGACGUCAAGUCAUCAUGCCCCUUAUGUCCAGGGCUUCACACAUGCUACAAUGGCCGGUACAGAGGGCUGCGAGACCGUGAGGUGGAGCGAAUCCCUUAAAGCCGGUCUCAGUUCGGANCGGGGUCUGCAACUCGCCCCGUGAAGUUGGAG
rnacentral:rRNA from 1 species